rnacentral:rRNA from 1 species
GAUGAACGCUGGCGGCGUGCCUAAUACAUGCAAGUCGAGCGAACAGACGAGGAGCUUGCUCCUCUGACGUUAGCGGCAGACGGGUGAGUAACACGUGGAUAACCUACCUAUAAGGCUGGGAUAACUUCGGGAAACCGGAGCUAAUACCGGAUAAUAUAUUGAACCGCAUGGUUCAAUAGUGAAAGACGGUUUUGCUGUCACUUAUAGAUGGAUCCGCGCCGCAUUAGCUAGUUGGUAAGGUAACGGCUUACCAAGGCGACGAUGCGUAGCCGACCUGAGAGGGUGAUCGGCCACACUGGAACUGAGACACGGUCCAGACUCCUACGGGAGGCAGCAGUAGGGAAUCUUCCGCAAUGGGCGAAAGCCUGACGGAGCAACGCCGCGUGAGUGAUGAAGGUCUUCGGAUCGUAAAACUCUGUUAUUAGGGAAGAACAAAUGUGUAAGUAACUAUGCACGUCUUGACGGUACCUAAUCAGAAAGCCACGGCUAACUACGUG